GGGCGUGGCGGGGGUGCGGCCGGGCCAGCGGAACGGAACGGAACGGAACGGGCCGGGCGGAGGGCGCAGCCAUGUCCUUCUGCUCCUUUUUUGGGGGAGAGGUGUUCAAGGACCACUUCCAGCCGGGUAUUUACGUGUGUGCCAAGUGUGGCCAUGAGCUCUUCUCCAGCCGGGCCAAGUACGAGCACUCGUCGCCGUGGCCGGCGUUCACCGAGACCCUGCGCGGGGACAGCGUGGCCAAACGCGAGGAGCGCCCGGGAGCCUUAAAGGUGACGUGUGGCAAGUGUGGCAACGGGCUGGGCCACGAGUUCCUCAACGAUGGGCCCAAGAGGGGCCAGUCCCGCUUCUGAAUAUUCAGCAGCUCACUGAAGUUCCUCCCGAAAGGUAAAUCUGACCUGACGGAAAAAUAAGUGAGCUGCUGCACCUGGCACUGCCCUGGGCUCAUCCUGCCUUCACUCCUUGGGAUGCGCUGUCCUGCCAAGAGGACCCACAGCAGGAGCAACCCCAAGGAAGCUCCUGCUCCGAGUUUUCCCCUGAUUUCGUGGUCACGGUUUCCCCUUGAUUUCCCAGUCAAGGUUUUAUUCCCUGAUUUCCCUGUCAGGGUUCCCCUGUUUUCCCUGGGCCAGUUCCCCUCAAUAUCUCUGUCACGGUUCUCCCCGGGUUUCUCUGUCCUGGUUCUCUCCUGGUUCCCCCAUCCCCGUUAUCCCCUGGUUCCCCUGUCCUGGUUCUCUCCUGGUUCCCCUGUCCUGGUUCUCUCCUGGUUCCCCCAUCCCAGUUAUCCCCUGGUUUCCCUGCCACUGUUCCUCUCUAUUUCCCUGUCCUGGUUCUCUCCUGGUUUCCCUGUCACAGUUCUCUCCUGGUUCCCCUGUCCUGGUUCUCUCCUGGUUUCUCUGUCCUGGUUCUCUCCUGGUUCUCCUGUCCUGGUUCUCUCCUGGUUCCCCUGUCCUGGUUCUCUCCUGGUUCCCCUGUCCUGGUUCUCUCCUGGUUCCCCUGUCCUGGUUCUCUCCUGGUUUCCCUGUCACAGUUCUCUCCUGGUUUCCCUGUCCUGGUUCUCUCCUGGUUUCUCUGUCCUGGCUCUCUCCUGGUUCCCCUGUCCUGGUUCUCUCCUGGUUCCCUGGCCCAGUUCCUCCCUGGGGCUGCUCCAGCUCCAUCCAAGGAGCUGCUGUGCCUGUGCUGAGCUCAGGGAGGGUUUGCUGCUGACAGUGUCCAGAGCCCAGGCAGGCACUGGAUGCACUCCAGGGAGGCUCUGCUGGCACUUGCAGGGACUAAGGCAGGAUUAGCCCAGGCCAGGGUCAGGGUUAAUCCCUGGAGCUAUUCUGGGCUGGGAUCAUGGUAUGAACUGCCCUAUAUAAACCCUCCAGGGCGCUGGGGCAGGGAUGUUUUAUGGUCCCACAUGUUUUCUGGGCAGCAUCCAGGUGUUUUCCCCCUCUGCCCACCUCCCACACUGCAGAGACGGUUCCACACCGGGGCCCUCGACUCUGCCCUGGCCUUACACCUGAUUCAGCGCUGUGCAAUAAAUUCCAGGGGCACUUGGCUUCCUCCUGGCUGUGCCCUGCAGGGAGGGAGGCUGGAAUUGGGCCCCAGAACUGCACUUGGCACCGCUCAGGCUCAGCAUUGUGGCUGUGCUGCCUCAGUGCUCCCAAGAGCUGCCACACUGAUCCUCCUCAGUUCAGUGCCUCAUUCCUGGCCUUCCCUCCCUGGCCCAGGAGCCAAAUCCUCCUCUGGAAGGGAUCCACGAGGAUCUUUAAAGAGGGAAAAGGCUGUUGCUGACCCGUGGGUUUAGAGGGGCUGUGCUGCUGGUGCAGCUGCACUUGGGGACACUUUGGGGGCUUUUCUCUCCGUGUGUUUUCCCUCAAUCCCACGGAUCCCAGGGCACCAGGGCAGGUUUGCCACCCCUGGAGCUCACUGCAGGUCUUGUACCUCUCCAUGCUGAAAUAAAGCACUGAUUCACU
ensembl:lncRNA